UUAAUAGAAGCCAAAAAUGAGGCAUUUCACUGUUAAUGAAUUAAUUGAUAUUUUCCUAUUAAA
rnacentral:tRNA from 1 species